rnacentral:ncRNA from 2 species
AACCAUACAUAAGUAAUAACUCGUAUACAUUCGGUAAUAUGGUCCGACAGUUUCUACCUGCUAACCUUAAAUAAGCAGACUACGAGGUUAUUUGAAGUUUUA